AGUCUAGGGUCUAUCGUWAAGGACGUGAA
rnacentral:rRNA from 1 species